CUGUGCGCAGCUCCUGCAGCCUGGAAAGUUUGCAUCACUUGCAACAUCUGCACAGGACUUCUCCCACCAGACCAGCCAUGAUCAUUUCCAGUUCUGCUUCCAGUCGGCCUCAGGGAGCAGCGCCACAAACAAUUACUCUGCAUUCAAAUGGAAAGUCAGUGCUAGGGUUUCAGCAAGAACUUCUGGAGCUUGGGAAAGAGCCCUCCUCACUCUUGGAAGGCUGAAAUGGGACCAUUUCAGAACUGCUUUAAAAGUGCGACUCUGAAAAUAGUGUGGGGGAAUAUGUCAUAUCUGAGCCUUUGCAAGUGCGACCUCUUCACUUGUUCAUCUCUGGGACAAUUAUGAUCAUUUUCACAGUCAUCCAAUUUUCCAAUCAGAGGCAAAGGAAAGUUUACACACGCACCUGCAUGAUCCAGAGGUUGGCAGGACACUUUAUCUGCAUACAUGACUCUUUUGUGUUUGCCAUGAAACUCAGCCCCUUGACCAGCACUUACCAAAACUCCAGUCUACCAAAUACAUGCUCAUUUUGAAAGUAUUGUUGGAAAUCAAUGAGUCUGGGGAGAAGACCCACAGGGCCCAGCUUUAGCAUCUCUCUCUCCAACAAAGCUCAAGUAUGUUCAACACGUUCAACAUGUCCACAGUCUUCUCACCCAUUCUGGACACUCUCUGAACCUUCCUUGCGCUUCGAGCUGUAAAGUCAGCCCCCUCAGUUGCUGGGACAAUAAGGUCAGAAGACGGAGCAUGUAAAAGUCAAAUGCAAUCAAGAUGCAGGCAGAUGUUAGUGCCGCCAGCCGGCAGUGGGCCACACAGUAAGGUCAGUAUUACCUUCCCCCAGUGCACAUCUGCAUGGCGAUGGACUCCUGCUCUACUCCGAGGCCCAUCCCGAUGGAGAGGGGCAGGCGGGAGCUACGCAAGGGGGGUGCCCUUGGGGUGAAGAAGAGCAGGAGAAAAUGGAGAGUGCAGAGGGAGGUGCUGAGCUACUGGCCAGGCCAGUUUCUCCCGAGCUUGACCCACUUGUCCAGCGUUGUCCCAAAUUAGGCCAAGAUAUUCGGAUCUUGGGCCUCCCCGGUGGCGCAGCAGUUGAGCGCUGGGUUGCGAAGCUGCCCGCAGCUUCUGCGGCACCGGUUCGAUCCCCGGCUGUUCCCCGGCCACCGGAGGAGGGUCCCACAUGGCACGCAGACCUCUCCUGCCACCCGCUGCUCCCCUCAGCAGUGUACUUUGGUCCUUCUGCCUGCUCUGCUCCCCGCUCUGGCUCUGGUGAGUUCUCUCACCCUCUCAUGCUUCUGACUGUACCCAGUGCUUGUAUAAACAAACAAACAAACAAACAAAUAAAUAAAACAUGCCUCUAUAAAAAAAAAAAAAAGAUAUUCGGAUCCUCAUAUCUCUGCGUCAGUCAGGGGUAGACCAGGGGCCAGGUAGCUCUCUGAAGCUGAGGCAACCCCUGCAGAGACUCACAACUGAAGACUUUCCAUGGACGGAGACAUGAACGCUGCGGGACAGAGCCCACGUACAGAGGGUCCUUGCCAGAGCAGCUGCACGCCCGGAGCACACAAGGAGCACAAGCCAAGGUUGCUGGGCUUGGCUUCUCCCAGAGGCUGCCCAUGGGACUGCGGUAUGAAGGCCAGUUGCUCACUUGGGACUGUGAAAGCGCGAUGGGAAAGGAAAGUCAAAGUAGAGUGUUUUAGUGAACAGGAUGAUGUGGGCAGACUCUAUGAGACAAAAUAGAACAUGCCCCAGAGGGGCCCACGCUGAGCUCAGAGAAGGUGGUGUUUAUCCAGCAGAUGCUGUGGGUCGACACUCAAGGCCUCUCCUGGAGGCAGUCACGUCCUGGCAGUUCCACCUGUUCACUUCCAGGAGAAGCCUCUGGUAGGAACAGAAACAUGAGUACCCAGAAGUGGGUAGUGCACUGUCUGCCAUGGCUGGGGCAGGCAGCCUGGACAACCUCUCAGGAAUGUGAAGUUGCAUCAACCCAGAAGCGACUCACAGGUCCAUGGAUAUAGCCAGCUGCACCGCCUGCCCGUGACGUGCUGGGAGGAGUCAGUCUCGCACCCAGGGAGGAAAGAAGUGGAGGUGCUGGAGAUUGCUGCGCCCUCAUAAAGUCUGCCACACCCACUCCUGCCUACCAGCAGUGCAUGAUUGAGAAACUGCUUUGUCAUCCUGAGUCUCCAUUUACUAUUCUGUAGCGUGGGAGAAUAACAUGUAUUCACAAGAGUGUGAAAAGUGGAAUUAGUGCACACACCCGGACCCACUACAAUGCACCAGUACUGACUCCCUGGUUCUGAUAUUGAAUCUAAACAUGAAUCACAU